UGCCCUAUUUUGGCAGCCAUCCUCCCAUUAGACGCGUGUCUUCCAGGUUAACACCUUACCCCUCUUACCGGUUUGCUUCUGAUGAGAGAGGAUGGGAAGAGGGAAAAGGGAGAGAGAAGAGAGGGGCGGUGACCGAAGGGUUAUCACCGUCACACCACCAUCGUGGUCACCAUUUGUUGUCUCUUUGUUUUGUGGGGUUUUUAACCUCUUUACGAAUGAUCGCUGGGCUCUCUCUAUUUACCAUCGCCCCUGUUAUUCUCUCUACAAAUUUCUCUCUUUCUCUCCCAAAGGCUAGGAAAUGAACGGUGUUUGUGUUCGUGGUUUGUUUCGAAUGACCUGGGCAACCAUAUUGGUUUGUUAGGGUUUUUCUUUGAUAUUGUGUUGUGUCUAUUGUCGGUUCUUAUGCCUUCGUUGGUUAGGUUUUCUGUCGUGGCUAUGAUGAGUUCAAGGAUUUGACUAAAAAAUUGAUGAACAUGUAGCCUUGGUUUGGCAAGGAUGGUGGAUGGUAAGUUUUCACUUGCAACCCCCUUGCAGCCAUGGAUUUCUAGUUUAGGCUUUAAAACUCUGAGCCUAGGAUGGGAAGUGCCUGUUUAGCCGACUAUGUCCUUGAUUUCUUUUGUUGUUUAUGAUUUGUCAAGUUUUAGGAAUUGCUCAAGAAUGAAGAUAAUACUUGUUCCCAUCUUUUGAAAAAAAAAAAAGACAAAUUAAGACUAGAGUGGUCGGGUAUUAUGUUGUUUUUUUAUUAUAUUAUUGUUGAAGUAGUUGUAAUCUCUUAUUUAUUUAUUAUACUUGCGAGUUUCCAGGGACCUAAUCAUUAUGUGAUUGCUUGCUUGCUGAUAAACUGAUGUUUUCACAUCUCUAAAAUUAACCCAUAUCGAAGUAUCAGUACAUAUAUGCAAAAGUAAAGCACUCUGAUCUUUGAUAAUUUUGCAAAAUUGCUACGUAUGAUGUAUUACUUUAUGCUUAUAGUUGUUCACGAUAUGAUAUUUUUUGUGUCUUUUCACUGUUUGUACCUUGCAAUGUUGAAAUUGUUUUUUUUAUUGACAUUGAUAAUCUAUGUAGACAAUAGUCUUAUACCGCUUUAAUCAUGAAAUGAAAAGAUUUGGUGCUGGUCUUGAUGAAUAUGAUGCAAUCUCUAGGUAUAUAUUAUGCAUUUAUGUCUAAACUUAUAAGUUAAAUUACUUUGUUUUAUAUGGGUCGUGACCGAACGCAAAUGACAUAUGGAAGAGGAUGAGAGUGUUUCAGUUCAAGAUGUGUGGGCCUGGUGAAGACGCGUGCAAGAACCGACAGGAGGGUUUCAGUUUAAGAUGUGUAGGCCUGUUUUGGUUGUUUGAAGAUGGGUUAAAUGCAUGAUUUGUUUGAUUUCUUGUUUUGUAGUAAUGUGAUUGAUCUGAUUAGGUUUUGUUUGAAUGGUUUAGGAUAAAGUGGGGAUGACGGCGACCUUGACGACUGUGGCUUCUAGGAUUCCGUCAAGGGUACCAAUGUCUCUCAACGGAUGAUCUAGAGACAGAAUGGGAAACUUGAAGGUGAUCUUGAACAGCCGCAACGUCAGAGACUUGAAUCGGUUCCGACAAGAAUGGGUACAUCAUGAAGCCAUGCGUGAGAGUGGCUGAGAAAAACAGAUGGUCGGCUGAGGCCUUCCCUACGCCUUCAUACGACCCCGGUGGUGGUAGCGCAACCAUUUGGCAGCGGCUCCACAAUCCUCUAUGUCAUCAUUAAGGUUACUGAUUUUGUAUACACAUGGAGUUGCAAGUUGUGUAUGGGUUUGUAUCUUAGGUAAACCCUCAACGGGUUCUAAACGACCUGAACAACGCUAGUUGGUGCAAUGACCUGAAUUUUUCUGUUUAGCAAAAAUCAAAGUUAAGGAUCCUUUGCGAGAUUAAUAGUAGAUUUAUUAUCACAGAAAAUUAUAGGCUGACACUCCAUGUUAAACUUCAGAUCAUUUAAAAUUCCUUUAAGCCAUAGAGCUUGACAUCCGGCCAUUGACAAUGCGAUGUAUUCUGCUUCUGUUGAUGACAAAGCUACUACACGUUGUUUCUUGGACUGCCAGGCGAUGGCUCCUGAUCCCACUUUGUUGAUUGUAUGAAUUAGGGUUCGAAGUUUCAGAGAGAAAAAGGAUAAUUUGUUCGUGUAUUCGAAUUGGUAAAUUGUUACAGUAAUACAUAUGAUUACAUAUAUACACGGCAGGUUUGACAGUAACCGCCGGAACUUAGGAAUUAACAUAAUAAUAACAUGAUAAUGUAACUUUAUAAAUAACCUAUGCUAUAUAAUUACUUAUAAAUAUAUCUAGCUUAUGUCUAUAAUCCAAUAAAAAUAUGACCCAGAGGAUACUUGCCAGUAACUUCCAGGUUAAAUUAGUUAAAAACUUCACUGAAUUGAGUUUAGAUGAUCAAUUGCAGAAGUGUAAUUCACAUAUAUUUAUGAGAGUUUAAAUUCUUUAUUAUUGGAAAUUUUUAUGGAUUGUUUAUAUUUUACUCUGUUCUUUUUUUCUUUU